rnacentral:rRNA from 1 species
GCCAGCAGCUAUAUCACCCUGCAACUCACAACUGGCAGCCCACUGAAGCUAAGCAGAUGUGAACCUGGUCAGUACCUAAAUGAGAGUCCUCCUGGGAAAAACUAAGGUUGCUGCUGGAA